UACGGAGGGGGCUAGCGUUGUUCGGAAUUACUGGGCGUAAAGCGCGCGUAGGCGGCUAACCAAGUUGGGGGUGAAAUCCCGGGGCUCAACCUCGGAAUUGCCUCCAAAACUAGUUGGCUCGAGUCCGGAAGAGGAGAAUGGAAUUCCCAGUGUAGAGGUGAAAUUCGUAGAUAUUGGGAAGAACACCAGUGGCGAAGGCGGUUCUCUGGUCCGGUACUGACGCUGUGGCGCGAAAGCGUGGGGAGCAAACAGG
rnacentral:rRNA from 1 species